rnacentral:rRNA from 1 species
UACGGAAGGCAGCAGUGGGGAAUAUUGCACAAUGGGCGCAAGCCUGAUGCAGCCAUGCCGCGUGUAUGAAAAAGGCCUUCGGGUUGUAAAGUACUUUCAGUCGUGAGGAAGGUGUUAAGGUUAAUAACCUUAGCAAUUGACGUUAGCGACAGAAGAAGCACAGGCUAACUCCGUGCCAGCAGCCGCGGUAAUACGGAGGGUGCGAGCGUUAAUCGGAAUUACUGGGCGUAAAGGGCACGCAGGCGGUUAAUUAAGUUGGAUGUGAAAUCCCCGGGCUUAACCUGGGAAUGGCAUUCAAGACUGGUUAGCUAGAGUCUUGUAGAGGGGGUAGAAUUCCAUGUGUAGCGGUGAAAUGCGUAGAGAUGUGGAGGAAUACCGGUGGCGAAGGCGGCCCCUGGACAAAGACUGACGCUCAUGUGCGAAAGCGUGGGGAGCAAACAGGGAUUAGAUACC